rnacentral:rRNA from 1 species
CGCGCAGGCGGUUUUGCAAGUCAGAUGUGAAAGCCCACGGCUCAACCGUGGAAGUGCAUUUGAAACUGCAGGACUUGAGUAUCAGAGGGGAAAGUGGAAUUCCCGGUGUAGAGGUGAAAUUCGUAGAUAUCGGGAGGAAUACCGGUGGCGAAGGCGACUUUCUGGCUGAAUACUGACGCUGAGGCGCGAAAGCGUGGGGAGCAAACAGGAUUAGAUACCCUGGUAGUCC